rnacentral:rRNA from 1 species
UACGUAGGGUGCAAGCGUUAAUCGGAAUACUGGGCGUAAAGCGUGCGCAGGCGGUGAUGUAAGACAGGUGUGAAAUCCCCGGCUUAACCUGGGAACUGCAUUUGUGACUGCAUCGCUGGAGUGCGGCAGAGGGGAUGGAAUUCCGCGUGUAGCAGUGAAAUGCGUAGAUAUGCGGAGGAACACCGAUGGCGAAGGCAAUCC